UGGCAGGCAGAUUCUCAACCACUGCGCCACCAGGGAAGCCCAAGACUAAGAAUUUUAUUACCAAAAAAACAAAACAAAACAAUUCUUGUAGUGAAAAAUUUAGUAGCUAAAAUUAGAAUUCCAUGGAUUAAUUUAAUAGCAAAUUAGAUGCAGAUUAAGAGAGAACCUGUGGCUAGAAAGGGAAAUCAAAAGAAAAUAUCCAGAAGCACAAAAAACAAUGGAAAGGUAUGAACAAGUGUAAGAAGCAUAGGAAAUAAAAUGAAGAGUUCUAAUAACAAGUGUGUAACGAGUUCCAGAAGGAGAAAGAGGAGGGAUGAUAAUGGGUAAGAAUUUUCCCAAAUCAAUAAAAAAAUAUCAAGCCACAUAUUCAAGAAUCUCCCUGUAAGCCUUAGGCAAAAUAAGUGAAAAGAAAAUCACACCUAAGAAUAUUGUAGUGUUAUGAAUACCAAAGACAAAAGGAAUAUCUUAAAAGCAGCUAGUAGAAAAAAAGAGCAGCACUAAGGCAGUCAACUUCUUAACAAUAGACUCUGUAAGACAAUAGAUUUAUAUCUUCAAAGUUCUUCAUAUUCUAUAGUCAGUGACCAUAUUCUUAAAAUAUGAAGGUGAAAUAAAGACAAUUUCGAACAAAACAAUUUAUUAUCGCAGAUCCACCUAUUGGACAGAAAAUAACUAAUCAAGACUUGAAAAUGCAGGAAGUAAUGAAAGUCAACAAAAAAGGCGAAAUAGGUGUAGGAGUGGGGGCGGUUACACGGCAGUCCCGGGGCUGCCACAUCCUGUUAACACAGACGGACUCAGACUCUUUGUCUUGCCCUGCGGUCGUCUCUUGGGUCCCUAAAGAGAACAGAAGUUGUGACUCUGUGCCCGGGAAGCUUUUCAUCCCGGUCAUCUGGAUGCUUCCAGCCUUGACUCAUCUUCAUUUGAAUCCCAGGGAACACAAUUAUUCAAAUACUCAGGAAUCGUAAGCAAUCGUAAAUUUUACGUUACUAAGAGUCAAACCAUGGCUUCCCUGGUGGCACAGUGGUUAAGAAUCCGCCUGCCAAUGCAGGGGACACAGCUUCGAGCCCUGGUCCGGGAAGAUCCCAUGUGCCGUGGAGCAACAAAGCCCGUGAGCCACAGCUACUGAGCCCGCGUGCCACAGCUACUGAAGCCCGUGCGCCUAGAGCCCGUGUUCCGCAACAAGAGAAGCCACCGCAGUGAGAAGCCCACGCGCUGCAACGAAGAGUAGCCCCUGCUUGCUGCAACUGGAGAAAGCCCGCGCGCAGCAACGAAGACCCAAUGCAGCCAAAAAUAAAUAAUAGAAAUUAUUAAAAAAAUAGAGUCAAAUCA